UACGUAGGGAGCGAGCGUUAUCCGGAUUCAUUGGGCGUAAAGCGCGCGUAGGCGGUCGCGUAAGCGGAACCUCUAAUCUUGGGGCUCAACCUCAAGCCGGGUUCCGAACUGCGCGACUCGAGUGUGGUAGGGGUGGAUGGAAUUCCCGGUGUAGCGGUGAAAUGCGCAGAUAUCGGGAAGAACACCGAUGGCGAAGGCAGUCCACUGGGCCAUCACUGACGCUGAGGUGCGAAAGCGUGGGGAGC
rnacentral:rRNA from 1 species